rnacentral:rRNA from 1 species
UGGGGAAUUUUGGACAAUGGGGGAAACCCUGAUCCAGCCAUCCCGCGUGUGCGAUGAAGGCCUUCGGGUUGUAAAGCACUUUUGGCAGGAAAGAAACGUCGCGGGUUAAUACCCCGCGAAACUGACGGUACCUGCAGAAUAAGCACCGGCUAACUACGUGCCAGCAGCCGCGGUAAUACGUAGGGUGCAAGCGUUAAUCGGAAUUACUGGGCGUAAAGCGUGCGCAGGCGGUUCGGAAAGAAAGAUGUGAAAUCCCAGAGCUUAACUUUGGAACUGCAUUUUUAACUACCGGGCUAGAGUGUGUCAGAGGGAGGUGGAAUUCCGCGUGUAGCAGUGAAAUGCGUAGAUAUGCGGAGGAACACCGAUGGCGAAGGCAGCCUCCUGGGAUAACACUGACGCUCAUGCACGAAAGCGUGGGGAGCAAACAGGAUUAGAUACCCUGGUAGUCCACGCCCUAAACGAUGUCAACUAGCUGUUGGGGCCUUCGGGCCUUGGUAGCGCAGCUAACGCGUGAAGUUGACCGCCUGGGGGAGUACGGUCGCAAGAUUAAAACUC